ensembl:lncRNA
UAGAAACACUUUUCUCUUCAUGUGGUUUUCCUCCUCUCUCUCUCCUGGUCCUGACUGCUUCAGAGCUCUGAGAACAGCCACAAGACAAAACAACUGGAUGGAGAAGAAGAGGGAGAACUGUGCUAUGAUGAAAAUGUAAUACAAGUCAAAUAGGAACAAGAACUAAGUAAUAAUACGGAUUCCACUGGAGAUAAAACUUGCCACCCAGGUAAUAACACAGCAGAUCACUUUAUAUCUGAGAGGUUUGAGCUUCAGAAAAGUUACAGGAUGAACC